CGUUAUCCGGAUUUAUUGGGCGUAAGAGAGUGCAGGCGGUUUUCUAAGUCUGAUGUGAAAGACCUUCGGCUUAACCGGAGAAGUGCAUCGGAAACUGGAUAACUUGAGUGCAGAAGAGGGUAGUGGAACGUCCAUGUGUAGCGGUGGAAUGCGUAGAUAUAUGGAAGAACACCAGUGGCGAAGGCGGCUACCUCGGUCUGCAACUGACGCUGAGACUCGAAAGCAUGGGUAGCGAACAGGAUUAGAUACCCUGGUAG
rnacentral:rRNA from 1 species